rnacentral:rRNA from 1 species
ACGAACGCUGGCGGCGUGCUUCACACAUGCAAGUCGCACGGAAAGGCCCUGCUUGCAGGGUCCUCGAGUGGCGAACGGGUGAGUAACACGUGGGUGAUCUGCCCUGCACUUCGGGAUAAGCCUGGGAAACUGGGUCUAAUACCGGAUAGGAGCCAUUUUUAGUGUGAUGGUUGGAAAGUUUUUUCGGUGUAGGAUGAGCUCGCGGCCUAUCAGCUUGUUGGUGGGGUAAUGGCCUACCAAGGCGGCGACGGGUAGCCGGCCUGAGAGGGUGGACGGCCACAUUGGGACUGAGAUACGGCCCAGACUCCUACGGGAGGCAGCAGUGGGGAAUAUUGCACAAUGGGCGCAAGCCUGAUGCAGCGACGCCGCGUGGGGGAUGACGGCCUUCGGGUUGUAAACGCCUUUCGCUAGGGACGAAGCUUUUUGUGACGGUACCUAGAGAAGAAGCACCGGCUAACUACGUG